rnacentral:rRNA from 1 species
UGGGGAAUUUUGGACAAUGGGCGCAAGCCUGAUCCAGCAAUGCCGCGUGAGUGAAGAAGGCCUUCGGGUUGUAAAGCUCUUUUGUCAGGGAAGAAACGGCUGUGGCUAAUAUCCAUGGCUAAUGACGGUACCUGAAGAAUAAGCACCGGCUAACUACGUGCCAGCAGCCGCGGUAAUACGUAGGGUGCAAGCGUUAAUCGGAAUUACUGGGCGUAAAGCGUGCGCAGGCGGUUUUGUAAGUCUGUCGUGAAAUCCCCGGGCUCAACCUGGGAAGUGCGAUGGAGACUGCAAGGCUAGAAUCUGGCAGAGGGGGGUAGAAUUCCGACGUGUAGCAGUGAAAUGCGUAGAGAUGUGGAGGAACACCGAUGGCGAAGGCAG